rnacentral:rRNA from 7 species
UGACCUCUGACCUCAAAUCAGGUAGGACUACCCGCUGAACUUAAGCAUAUCA